rnacentral:tRNA from 1 species
ACCAGGAUGGCUCAGUCGUUAAGCAUCUGACUUCAGCUCAGGUCAUGAUUUCAUGGUUCGUGAGUUCGAGUCCCACAUCUGGUG